UACGGAGGGGGCUAGCGUUGUUCGGAAUUACUGGGCGUAAAGCGCACGUAGGCGGCUUUGUAAGUUAGAGGUGAAAGCCCGGGGCUCAACUCCGGAAUUGCCUUUAAGACUGCAUCGCUAGAAUUGUGGAGAGGUAAGUGGAAUUCCGAGUGUAGAGGUGAAAUUCGUAGAUAUUCGGAAGAACACCAGUGGAGAAGGCGACUUACUGGACACAUAUUGACGCUGAGGUGCGAAAGCGUGGGGAGCAAACAGG
rnacentral:rRNA from 1 species